CAGAUCUGAAGAUGGAGGCAGCUACACCUGUGCUGUUAAAGGACAUGAGGAUCUUCCUUCUCUACCCAAAAGGAUAAAUGUCAUGUGCCAGACGGUCAUCACAUCUGAGAGAGAAGCAGUGAAGGUGGGAGAUCAUGUGACCCUCACCUGUAACACCACCUGCACUCUGAGUAGCAGCCCUUCAUUCAUCUGGAGUAAAGAUGGACGUCCUGUAGAGAAGAAGCAGAACAUCAACAACCAGCUGCAGUUCCACCCAGUCAGAUAUGA
ensembl:lncRNA